GAUGAACGCUGGCGGCAUGCCUAAUACAUGCAAGUCGAGCGAACGGACGAGAAUCUCUCUUUUUUGCUGUUAGCGACGGGCGGGCGAGUAACACGUGGAUAACCUACCUAUAAGACUGGGAUAACUUCGGGAAACCGGAGCUAAUACCUGAUAAUAGUUUUAACUUCAUGGCUCAAAAGUGAAAGACGGUCUUGCGGUCACUUAUAGAUGGAUGCGCGCUGCUUUAGCUAGUCGGGAAGGUAACGGCUCACCAAGGCAACGAGGCAUAGCUGACCUGAGAGGGUGGGAAGCCACACCAGAACGGAGCCGCGACCCAGACUACUACGGGAGGCGGCAGAGGGGAAACUACUGCAAGGGGCGAAAGGCUGACGGAGCAACGCCGCGUGGGGUAUGGAGGUCCGCGGAUCGGAGAACUAUGCUACUAGGAUGGAACAUAUGUGUAAGUAACUGUGCACAUCUUGACGGUACCUAAUCAGAAAGCCACGGCUAACUACGUG
rnacentral:rRNA from 1 species